UUCUCUUCUUGCAAGAGAGAAAGAAAGAGAGAGAGACAGAGAUCGAAUCUGUUUCUGCUUGCUCUUAUGGGACUUUGCUGCUGAUCGAUUUUGGAAGGGAUCGUUGAAUUGAAAGCUAAAGAUGGGUGGAUCAGACGAGAACAAACACGGAGUUAUCGGACCCAUGAACCCACAAGGUGGUUUACGUGGAGGAAAGGUGAAUCCGGCGAAUGGGCAGACACGAAGAGCACUCAGUAACAUAAA